AUUGAACGCUGGCGGCGGGCCUAACACAUGCAAGUAGAGCGGGCGGCGGACGGGUGAGUAAUGUUUGGGCAUCUGCCAGAUGGCGGGGGAUAACUGCUGGAAACGGUAGCUGAUACCGCAUAAUAUCAUUUGAACCCAUAUGGGAUUAGCUAGUAGGUGGGGUAAAGGCUCACCUAGGCGACGAUCGCUAGCUGGUCUGAGAGGAUGAUCAGCCACACUGGGACUGGGACACGGCCCAGACUCUUACGGGAGGCAGCAGUGGGGAAUAUUGCACAAUGGGCGAAAGCUUGAUGCAGCCAUGCCGCGCGUAUGAAGAAGGUCUUAGGGUUGUAAAGUACUUUCAGAGGGGAGGCGUUACUUGCAGAAGAAGCACCGGCUAACUCCGUGCCAGCAGCCGCGGUAAUAC
rnacentral:rRNA from 1 species